GACGAACGCUGGCGGCGUGCCUAAUACAUGCAAGUCGAGCGAACAGACGAGAAGCUUGCUCCUCUGAUGUUAGCGGCGGACGGGUGAGUAACACGUGGAUAACCUACCUAUAAGACUGGGAUAACUUCGGGAAACCGGAGCUAAUACCGGAUAAUAUUUUGAACCGCAUGGUUCAAUAGUGAAAGACGGUUUUGCUGUCACUUAUAGAUGGAUCCGCGCUGCAUUAGCUAGUUGGUAAGGUAACGGCUUACCAAGGCAACGAUGCAUAGCCGACCUGAGAGGGUGAUCGGCCACACUGGAACUGAGACACGGUCCAGACUCCUACGGGAGGCAGCAGUAGGGAAUCUUCCGCAAUGGGCGAAAGCCUGACGGAGCAACGCCGCGUGAGUGAUGAAGGUCUUCGGGUCGUAAAACUCUGUUAUUAGGGAAGAACAAAUGUGUAAGUAACUGUGCACAUCUUGACGGUACCUAAUCAGAAAGCCACGGCUAACUACGUG
rnacentral:rRNA from 1 species